rfam:Leersia perrieri chromosome 11, whole genome shotgun sequence.
AUACUUACCUGGACGGGGUCUAUGGCCGAUCAACAAGGGCCAUGGCCUAGGUUAGUGGCCCACAUUCCAUGUUGUGGGUUCGCUGGCCUACCAUCUCCCCAAGUGGGAGAAUGGAUGUCAUAAUUUGUAAUAGAGGGGUACACGUCCGAGUACUAAUU